rnacentral:lncRNA from 1 species
AGUUCGAAGGCUUCGAGGCUGCUCCCAUACGCACUGGUGGAAGGAGAGGCCGCGCUCCCGGCUGAGCACGGUGUCACGGGUGCUGCAGCCCACUGCGGAGCAACUUCGGGUCAUCUUCUUGUUACGUGGGGCCCCACCUUCGGGGUUCCCGCGACAGCAUGAAUCACGACCACUUUAGCUCCGCCCGUUGACUCUGCGGCUACGACCUUUAUUUGUCACGAAAGGCGGGCUUUAGAGGCGCGGGACUUCCACACUUCCUCUCCGAAGGCCCUGCGCCGGUGCCGUAGCCAAUGACAGGCCACGUUGUGUCCCAGCAGCCAAUCGGAAGGGCCUGAGCCUGAAGACGUGCAUUUGACCGCUCCUCCCUCCGCGUUGGAGGCGGAAUAGUGGGUUUUGCUGCAACCGGUUUAUUUUCCUUCUGUUUUCACCCAUUCUGGCACAAUCUGGCGCCAUCGUCCUUCUUGUGAGGCCAAGCCUGAAAAUGCGAAGCAGAGAGGCAGGACCAAAAUUGAGGCGAAUCCAGGAACCUGCCAAUGGGUCUCCGGGUGCGGUCUCUGAAACUGGAGGAUAUCGGGAGGAAAGGCUCUCCGAUGCGGAGAUAAUGGGGAAGCUCUUGGCAUGGUUGGCUGUAGGUAUGUGAUACCGGAGGAGCAGGAGUCAAAUAGGAUACGCCGACUUUUAAUUCAAGGAACCCUUUUCUGAAACACUUUGCCACAAUGAAGGAAAUAAGGAAUAAAAUUGAAGGGUGUUUUUCUUAGAGAACAUCAUUUGUCAUAUUUAUUUGAUCAAGAAGUUGAAGAUUUAUAUAAUAAGGAUCUAGUUUGAAGCACUAAGAAGAAUAAGACAUCAGUUUGAAAAGAGGCUCUAUCAGAACAACACGAAUUCUGCUAAAAUUGAAGCAAGAACAAACAUCAAAUAUAUGUUGACACUUGGGUGGAAGAAUGGUGAACUAAUUGAUGCUUUAUGAAAAGUUGAUAGGGACAGUGCUCCAAAGAAAUCAGUUUACAAAUGGAUAACUCGUUUUAAGAAGGCAUAAGGUAAUGUUGAAGAAGAAGCCCACAGUGGCAGAUCAUCCACAUCAGUUUGUGAGAAAAAAGUUAGUUCAUGGCGUAAUUGAAGAAAACCAACAAUUAACAGCAGAAACAACAGCCAACACCAUAGACAUCUCAGUUGGUUCACCUUACACAAUUUUGACUGGAAAAGUUCAGCAAACUUUAUACCUGAUAGGUACCAAAACCAUUGCACCCAGAUCAGCUACAGACAAGAAUAGAGCUUUCAAUGGAAAUUUUAAAUAAGUGGGAUCAGGAUCUUGAAGCCUUUCAUUGAAAAAUUGUAACAGGAGAUGAAACAUGGCUUUACCAGCGCAAUCCUGAAGACAAAACACAAAGCAGUGGUUACCAAGAUAAGUAGUUCAGUUAAAGCACAAGAGGACUGGUUGAGAGCAAAGGUCAUGGCAACAGCUUUUGAAUGCUCAAGGCAUUUUGCUUGUUGACUUUCUGUAGGGCCAAAGAAUGGUAACGUGCUUAUCAUGGGAGUGUUUUGAGAAACUUAGCCAAAGCUUCAGCAGAAAAAUCCCCGAGAAAGACCAGAGAGUUCUUCACCACAACAAUGUUCCUGCUCAUCCCUCUCAUCAAACAAGGCCAUUUUGCAAGAGUUUUGAUGGGAAAUCACUAGGCAUCCACCCUACAGUCCUGGUUUGGCACCUUCUGACUUUUUGUUUCCUAAUCUUAAAAAAAUUUUUCAGGGCAGUACAUUUUUCUCAAGUUAAUGUAUAAAGAAACUGCAUUGAUGUAGAUAAAUUCCCAGAACUCUCAGUUCUUUAGGGAUGGACUAAAUAGCUGGUAUCAUCACUUACAAAAGUGUCUUGAAUGCUAUAGAGCUAAUGUUCAAAAAUAUAGUUUAUAUUUUUUAUCUUUUAACCAUUUUUCCACAAACUUUUUGAAGUCUCCUUGAAUAUGUACCAUUUAUAAAGGGGAAAAAUUCUGUGACUACUCAUGUUGACUUAAUGCUGACUUAAUUUUCUGUUUUGUAAAUAUAUACAAACAAGUUGAUACAAAUUUUGUUUAUAGCCCUUAAACAAAUUUGUGAAAUAAAUGCAUUCAGAAACAAACUAAAACAAUGAAAUGGAUGCUACUGUUUUACUGAGGUGUAAGCAUAGUACUGGCUGCUAUGGAAAAAGUUACAUAAACAUUCAUGUAUCUUGUGAUGAAAAAAAAAAA